rnacentral:rRNA from 1 species
UAAGCACUGCAUGUCUAAGUAUAAGCAAUUAUACAGCGAAACUGCGAAUGGCUCAUUAUAUAAGUUAUCGUUUAUUUGAUAGUACCUUACUACUUGGAUAACCGUGGUAAUUCUAGAGCUAAUACAUGCUAAAAAUCCCGACUCCGGAAGGGAUGUAUUUAUUAGAUUAAAAACCAAUGCCCCCUGGGCCCCUUGGUGAUUCAUGAUAACUAUUCGAAUCGCACGGCCUUGCGCCGGCGAUGGUUCAUUCAAAUUUCUUCCCUAUCAACUUUCGAUGUUUGGGUAUUGGCCAAACAUGGUUGCAACGGGUAACGGAGGGUUAGGGCUCGACCCCGGAGAAGGAGCCUGAGAAACGGCUACUACAUCCAAGGAAGGCAGCAGGCGCGCAAAUUACCCAAUCCCGAUUCGGGAGAGGUAGUGACAAUAAAUACUGAUACAGGGCUCUUUUGGGUCUUGUAAUUGGAAUGAGUACAAUUUAAAUCUCUUAACGAGGAACAAUUGGAGGGCAAGUCUGGUGCCAGCAGCCGCGGUAAUUCCAGCUCCAAUAGCGUAUAUUAAAGUUGUUGUGGUUAAAAAGCUCGUAGUUGAACCUUGGGCCUGGCUGGCCGGUCCGCCUCACCGCGUGCACUGGUCCGGCCGGGCCUUUCCCUCUGUGGAACCCCAUGCCCUUCACUGGGCGUGGCGGGGAAACAAGACGUUUACUUUGAAAAAAUUAGAGUGCUCCAGGCAGGCCUAUGCUCGAAUACAUUAGCAUGGAAUAAUGAAAUAGGACGCGUGGUUCUAUUUUGUUGGUUUCUAGGACCGCCGUAAUGAUUAAUAGGGACAGUCGGGGGCAUCAGUAUUCAAUUGUCAGAGGUGAAAUUCUUGGAUUUAUUGAAGACUAACUACUGCGAAAGCAUUUGCCAAGGAUGUUUUCAUUAAUCAGGAACGAAAGUUAGGGGAUCGAAGACGAUCAGAUACCGUCGUAGUCUUAACCAUAAACUAUGCCGACUAGGGAUCGGACGAUGUUAUUUUUUGACGCGUUCGGCACCUUACGAGAAAUCAAAGUGCUUGGGCUCCAGGGGGAG